rnacentral:rRNA from 1 species
UGGGGAAUAUUGCGCAAUGGGGGAAACCCUGACGCAGCCAUGCCGCGUGAGUGAAGAAGGUCUUCGGAUCGUAAAGCUCUUUCAACGGUGAAGAUGAUGACGGUAGCCGUAGAAGAAGCCCCGGCUAACUCCGUGCCAGCAGCCGCGGUAAUACGGAGGGGGUUAGCGUUGUUCGGAAUUACUGGGCGUAAAGCGCACGUAGGCGGACCAGAAAGUUGGGGGUGAAAUCCCGGGGGCUCAACCCCGGAACUGCCUCCAAAACUAUUGGUCUAGAGUUCGAGAGAGGUGAGUGGAAUUCCAAGUGUAGAGGUGAAAUUCGUAGAUAUUUGGAGGAACACCAGUGGCGAAGGCGGCUCACUGGCUCGAUACUGACGCUGAGGUGCGAAAGUGUGGGGAGCAAACAGGAUUAGAUACCCUGGUAGUCCACACCGUAAAACGAUGAAUGCCAGUCGUCGGGUAGCAUGCUAUUCGGUGACACACCUAACGGAUUAAGCAUUCCGCCUGGGGAGUACGGUCGCAAGAUUAAAACUUAAAUGAAUUG